UACGAAGGGUGCAAGCGUUAAUCGGAAUUACUGGGCGUAAAGCGUGCGUAGGUGGUCUUUUAAGUCCGUUGUGAAAGCCCUGGGCUCAACUUGGGAAUGGCAGUGGAUACUGGAAGGCUGGAGUACGGUAGAGGAGGGUGGAAUUCCCGGUGUAGCGGUGAAAUGCGUAGAGAUCGGGAGGAACAUCAGUGGCGAAGGCGGCCCUCUGGACCAGUACUGACGCUGAGGCACGAAAGCGUGGGGAGCAAACAGG
rnacentral:rRNA from 1 species